UACAGAGGUCUCAAGCGUUGUUCGGAUUCAUUGGGCGUAAAGGGUGCGUAGGCGGCGGGGUAAGUCGGAUGUGAAAUCUCGGAGCUUAACUCCGAAACUGCAUUCGAUACUGCCGUGCUUGAGGACUGGAGAGGAGACUGGAAUUUACGGUGUAGCGGUGAAAAUGCGUAGAUAUCGUAAGGAAGACCAGUGGCGAAGGCGGGUCUCUGGACAGUUCCUGACGCUGAGGCACGAAGGUCCAGGGGAGCAAACGGG
rnacentral:rRNA from 1 species